rnacentral:rRNA from 1 species
AGUGAACGCUGGCGGUAGGCCUAACACAUGCAAGUCGAACGGCAGCACAGUAAGAGCUUGCUCUUACGGGUGGCGAGUGGCGGACGGGUGAGGAAUACAUCGGAAUCUACUUUUUCGUGGGGGAUAACGUAGGGAAACUUACGCUAAUACCGCAUACGACCUACGGGUGAAAGCAGGGGAUCUUCGGACCUUGCGCGAUUGAAUGAGCCGAUGUCGGAUUAGCUAGUUGGCGGGGUAAAGGCCCACCAAGGCGACGAUCCGUAGCUGGUCUGAGAGGAUGAUCAGCCACACGGGAACUGAGAGACGGUACAGACUCCUACGGGAGGCAGCAGUGGGGAAUAUUGGACAAGGGGCGCAAGCCUGAUCCAGCCAUACCGCGUGGGUGCAGAAGGACUUCGGGUUGUAAAGCCCUUUUGUUGGGAAAGAAAAGCAGCAGGUUAAUACCCCGCUGUUCUGACGGUACCCAAAGAAUAAGCACCGGCUAACUUCGUG